UACAGAGGUCUCAAGCGUUGUUCGGAUUCAUUGGGCGUAAAGGGUGCGUAGGCGGCGCGGUAAGUCGGGUGUGAAAUCUCGGAGCUUAACUCCGAAACUGCAUUCGAUACUGCCGUGCUUGAGGACUGGAGAGGAGACUGGAAUUCCUGGUGUAGCGGUGAAAUGCGCAGAUAUCAGGAGGAACACCGGUGGCGAAGGCGGGGUCUCUGGGCCGAUACUGACGCUGGAGGAGCGAAAAGCCGUGGGGAGCGAACAGA
rnacentral:rRNA from 1 species